rnacentral:rRNA from 1 species
AUACGGAGGACGCGAGCGUUAUCCGGAUUCAUUGGGUUUAAAGGGUGCGCAGGCGGCCGUGCAAGUCAGCGGUGAAAGCCCGGGGCCCAACCCCGGAAGUGCCGUUGAUACUGCAUGGCUUGAAUGCGGUCGAGGCGGGCGGAACGUGGCGGGUAGCGGGGAAAUGCUGAGAUAUGCCACAGAACGCCGAUAGCGGAGGCAGCUCGCCAGGCCUGCAUGGACGCUCGGGCACGAAAGCGUGGGGAUCGAACAGGAUUAGAUACCCUGGUAGUCCACGCCGUAAACGAUGGGCGCUCGUCGUCGGCGGCAGACAGUCGGCGGCCAAGCGAAAGCGAUAAGCGCCCCACCUGGGGAGUACGGUCGCAAGGCUGAAACUCAAAUGAAUUGACGGGG